AAGAAGUAGGUAGCUUAACCUUAGGGAGGGCGCUUACCACUUUGUGAUUCAUGACUGGGGUGAAGUCGUAACAAGGUAACCGUAGGGGAACCUGCGGUUGGAUCACCUCCUUACCUUAAAGAAGC
rnacentral:rRNA from 1 species